UACAGAGGUGACUAACGUUGUCCGGAAUUAUUGGGCGUAAAGGGCGCGUAGGUGGUCAGGUAAGUCAGGUGUGAAAGCUCUGGGCUUAACCCAGGAAUUGCAUCUGAUACUGCUUGGCUUGAGUACGGUAGAGGAGGGUGGAAUUCCCAGUGUAGCGGUGAAAUGCGUAGAUAUCAGGAGGAACACCGGUGGCGAAGGCGCACAUCUGGCCCGAUACUGACGCUGAGGCGCGAAAGCUAGGGGAGCAAACGGG
rnacentral:rRNA from 1 species